rnacentral:lncRNA from 1 species
AAGUGCAGGGUGCCAAGCGGAGAGCCUGGAUCAUAUUUCACAUGUGCCGGUCCCAAAGGAAUUCCUUAACUCUCCCUUCCUGGAACCGAAAUGCUUCCAAAGGCAGAGAGCUCCUAUAUAUAUUUCUCUGUUUUCCCCGGAGGACCGUGCAUGAAAGGCGCCUUUUUGGCGCGUGUGUCUCUGACCCUGUGGAUCUUCUGGACAAUUCCCGGAAUUUCUUGCAGGGCAGCACUUCCCCUUAAGUCGUCUCUUUCUCGUUUGGAUAGUCAGUAUUUGUAUAGUCACUAUUCUCUUUUGGUUAGCCGUCUAAUUUUAUACUGCCAGUCAAGCUCUACUCCCUUCCCCCUAGAGUUUGAAUUUAUUUUUUUUCAAACGCUACACAAACCCAAAUAAACUCAACCAAAGCGGACUUUACCUACCUUCCUACCUACCUACCAAGAAAAUAUCCCACAAAGGAGAGAACGGAGAAGCUUGCAAUACAGGAAGAAAAAAAAAGAAUUACAGAAUGGAAGGGAUGUGUGCUCUAAAAAUGCAGUGCUGCUGCUACCUACCAUAAUGUGUUUGUUGCAAGAUCCACAAGAACGUGGAUGCCAAGAAUCCACAAAAAAAAACAGAUGCAACCGUUGAUGAGGCCAUAAACAGAAACAGCAAGCGGUUCCCACGUUUCCUCUGCUUUAACUACUGAUGAUGAAAUGCAAGUCAUAAGGCAAAUAGAAGGGCUGUACUGAUACAGACAAAAUGUUAUUAUUAUGAGAAGGGAUAAGUCCCUUGUAAAACCUUGAAAUUUUUUUCUUCUUUGAGAAAAAUCUAUCACCUAUUUUCACCCUGCUCUUGAUAUAGCAAAUAUUGUAAGUUGUCUUAUGGAGGAUGACUCAGGGAGGACGGUGAAUGGGUUGACUCAAUCCAGAAAAGGAAGAGGAAAAUAAAAAGACAUAACGACCAAUCUGUGAAAACGCUCAGUGGCUUAAAAGACACUAUUAAGAGAUGAGACUAUUUGAUUCUUUAUUUAACUCCUUUCCAAGGAAAUGUUUUUGAAAAUCCAUACGGUUUACAUAUUAAAGAGGAUCAAUCUGAUAAUAGGUGAUUUUUUUGAAAAAAAUGAAAGGAAAAUUUAAAAAUAAAAGGGACAGAAUAAUACUUUGUAUACUUCCACUUCUAGUAAUAAUAAAAUGAGUGAUUUGGAACAAACAUGUAGCAGAGGAAAGGUGAGCAAACUUUUUAAAUGUCAAAAGACAUCAAAAGACAAGAUAAUGGAGAAAUGGUGGGCCAAAAUUCAGAAACAGUUGGGAGAGUCAUGCAUUUGGGGCUAAUUUUCUCCUGGGGAUGAUGGUCUAGUCUAGGAUCUGAAAAGCCUAGAAUCUCUGCAGCACUUUUGACACCUAUAUGAAGCUGGGGGAAAGAAAGAUUCUAGCAAAAAUUAAAAUGCACAUCUUUUCAAGAGCACAUAAGAUUUGUACAAAUGAGUAAAAUGAUAUGGGAUUUCAAAAUACUGAAAUACUAUGUUUUCGAAUACAGUGAAAUUUGGCUAGAAAUCAAUAAAAAUACAACUAAAUGAUUCAUGUGUGCAUUUAAUAAAUAUUGUCUCAUCUCCAAACCCACCAUUCUUCACGCCGCUUUAUGGGGCUGGAAUGGGGGAGUCUGCAGCCAAUCUUUCCCGACCUCUACACCCCCAAUCUGGUUCUGUGUUCGGCAACUAUUAGCAGAAGAGUAUAGGGGUGGUGGGGGCAGGGAGAUAUACUGUAUCCUGUGCCUGCCAGCCAGCAGUACUUUUUCUUGUAGCAACUGCCUAAUUUUCAGUUUUUCUAACACUUGAAUACCUAUUUCAUCAUGGCUCUUUAUAAACAUUAUUAAACAACUUCCCAAAGACUGAUCCUUAGAUGUCUAAGUGCUAAAACUGCAGGGCCCUGUUUCUGAGCUCAGAGACAGCAGAGCCAGCUGAACACUGGCCUCUCCUCAGGUGGUUGCUGCUUGCUGCAGUUGCUACUUCCUGCAGUUGCUACUUCCAUCAUAUAUUAGAGUUUUUUUUUUUUUUUUUUUUUUUUUGACAGAGUCUCGCUCAGUUCCCCGGGCUGAAGUGCAGUGGUGCCAUCUCGGCUCACUGCAACCCCUGCGUCUCGGCUCCAAGCAAUUCUCCUGCCUCAGCCUCCCAAAUAGCUGGAAUUACAGGCAUGCACCACCACUCCCAGCUAAUUUUUGUGUUAUCAGUAGAGAUGGGGUUUCACCAUGUUGGCCAGGCUGGUCUUGAACUCCUGACCUCGUGAUCCACCCGCCUCAGCCUCCCAAAGUGCUGGGAUUACAGGCGUGAGCCACAGCAUCUGGCCCAGAGUUCUUUUUCUGCUCUUUCAGAAAUCUAGCUACCAACUCUACAAUAUGCUAAUUUUUCUUUUCAAAUAAUUCGUAAGGUUUCUAUCUUCUAGGUGAACCCUAAAUUAUAAACUUGUUUAGAAAUUAAUCAAACCACUUUUAAGUAAUCCAUAGAUAAAAGAGUAUGGCAUUGAAAUCUGGUGUCAUCAGUGAAUUCCACCAAAUAUUUAAAGAAGAAACCAUGUUCAUCUCAAAAUUAUUCCUCAGAAUAACAAAAUAGGAAACACUUUCCAACUAACUUUAUGAGGCCACUAUAAUAACACUGACAAAAUUUGUGAGAGGCUUCAUUAGAAUAGAAAAUGACAGGUCUGGCCAGGCAUGGUGGCUCAUGCCUGUAAUCCCAGCACUUUAGGGGGCUAAGGCAAGCAGAUCAUGAGAUCAGGAGAUCCAGACCAUUCUGGCAAACACUAACACAGUGAAACCCCGUUUCUACUAAAAAUACAAAAAAAAAAAAAAAAGCCAGGUAUGGAGGCACGCGCCUGUAUUCCCAGCUACUUGGGAGGCUGAGGCAAGAGAAUCACUUGAACCUGGGAGGUGGAGAUUGCAGUGAGCUGAGAUCGUGCCACUGCACUCCAGCCUGGGUGACAGAGUGAGACUCCAUCUCAAGAAAAAAAAAAAAAGAAAAGAAAAAAGAAAGAAAAAGAAAAUGACAGGUCUAUCUCGUCAUAAAUAUACUUUCAAAAAUCCUAAACAAAAUGUUGCCAAUCAUAUAUGAGGGUAACACAUCAUGACCUAGGUAUCAGAAACAGAAAAAAAAAGUUUGAUUAAUCACCCAUUUGUCAUAAGAAAAUUUAGGCAACUAAGCAAUAGUAAAGAUCUACAAAAAUGGCAACAAAUACCAAAAGGAAUAGUGAAAUAUUGAAAACAUUUCCUCUACGAUGGGGAACGAAAUAAUGAUGUCCACUCCAACCAUUUCUACUAAAUACCACAUUUGCUCCUUUAUCCUGCAAUCUUGCCAAAUAAUCUAAUUAAUUUUAAUAUUUUAUGUGUAGAUCUUUUGAAUUUUAUAUGCAUGCUCAUGUUGACUUCAGAUCUGCAACAAAUGUGGCACUGCAGCACCAUGGGAACAGGACAAAUAUUCAACACAUGUUGCUGUUAAAUUGAAUAUUGUGAAAUAAAACUGAAAUUGACCUAUACCUCCCACUACAUGCAACAAUCUAAGGCUGGUGGAUUGUAGAGCCCAAUUUGAAAAGCAUUUCUUAUGACACUUAAAUCUACUCAGUGUAUAAACCCAUAAGAAAUGUGUACCAAAAUACACAUAUAAGAAUGUUCAUAGCAGGAUCAUUCAUCACAAUGACAAGCUGAGAAUACUUCAGAUGUCCAUCGAUGAUAGUAUGGAUAAAUAUUUUUUGUUAUUUACACAAGGUAAGAGCAAGGACACUGAACAAACUUUAGCUGUACAUGCAAUACCAUGAUGACUCCCAUAAAUAUGUUGAGCAAAAUAACUAGACAAACCCCGUAGAUGCAGCGUGAUUCCACUUGUUCAUUAGACAUGCAAAAUUCAUCAGUAGGAUGAUUUUGGACACUUAAAUAGUAAAAAUAUAAAGAAAAGCAAGGGAACCUUAAAACUUAGGGUAGUGGUUUCUUUUCCUGGGGAAGAAAGCAUCAUGAUGCUGUGAGAGUGGGGUGUUUGCAAUUCUACCAUGCUCCAUUUUUGGCUGUGAGUGGUGAUUAUACAGCUGUUCAUUUUAUGUUCAUACUUUCACAUGUGUAUUUAUGAUUUGGACACUUUUCUGAAUGUAAGUGAUAUUUCAAUCUGUAAAAAUCAAUGAUAUAUGACCAACAAACUGUGGUACAUCAAUACAAUAGAGUAUUAUUCAGCCAUAAAAAGAAAUGAGAUAUGAAGUUAUGAAAACACAUAGAAUAACCUUAAAUUCAUAUUGUUAAUGGAAAGAAGCCAGUCUGUCAAAGCUACAUACUGUAAUUCAACUAUAUGAUAAUCUGGAAAAGGCAAAACUAAAGGUCAGUAAAGUGAUCAGUGGUUGUUAGAGGUUCAGAGAGAUUAAUUGGUAGAGUACAGGGUAUUUUUAAGCAGUGACACUAUUCUGUAUGAUAUGGUAUGGUGGAUAUAGGAUGUUAUGCUUUGUCAAAACCCAUGGAAUGUACAACACAAAGAGUAAGCCCUAAUGUCAACCACAGACUUUAGUUAAUAAUAAUGUGUCGAUAUUCGUUCAUUAGUUGUAACAAAUAUGCCACACACAUGCAAGAUGCAAACAAUAGGAGAAACUGGGCAGGGGAAAGGAGAGCACAUGGGAAAUAUUAAUACUUUCUCUGUAAUUUUUCUGUAACCCUAAAACUGCUCUUAAAAUAAAGUCUUUUUUAAAAAAUCAAUGAUAUGUUUCAAAGGAAACUGAAUAUAUGGCAUAGAACUUUUUUCAGAACUUGGAAGGGCUAAAAAUAAUGAGAAACUCUAUAAUGAAUAUGAACAUAUUGAUCAGGUGUAUCUUAUAAGCUAAUGAGAAAAAAUGUGGACUAGAGAAGGAAGCAGAUUGUAAUAAAUAAAUCAUUAAAAGAGAAUAAACAAUUUAUCCAAAUGGGCAAAAUCACAUAUUGGAAGGAGGAGAAGAAGAUGGAGGAGAAGUGGGUGGAAGGCCAGGGUGUGUAGGAGGAGAAGUAGGAGAGGAAGAGUAAGAGAAAAAGGAGGAAGAGACUCCUAGAGAUGCACUUGUAGACACUGAAAAUUUUUUUUAAUGGCAAGGCUGAAGACUAAAGAAUUGAGUCAAUUUCAAAGGAAUGAAAAAAUAAGCUUUUCAUUUUAAUUAUUGUCUGCAACAUUAAAAGUAGUAAUAAAAUAUAAAAAUAAUCUAUGGGGUUUUGAGAUGAAAAGAUUGAUCCUUCUAUGGUCAGAGAAUGUUUUGUUCAUGUGCACUAUUCUUGGCAUACAAGAUUCAGUUGUGAAUCACUUCUAAAUUCUUUCUGGAAAAUAUUCUUCAAGACAUAUUACAGGCCUUUGGCAACAACACAGAUAAAGCUUCCACAGACCGUCUUCCUAGUUUAUUUACACAGAAAUACUGAAUAAAAUGUGAACAUAAAAAUAUCAUUUAUUUGAAUAGGGGAAUGUUUGAGGGCUUACAUAUUAAACAUAGAAAGAAAAAAACAAACAGAUAUUAUUUAUUUGUUCCAUUAUAUCCCCCACUACCCACUCUCAUUUUCUCCCCUGUAGCAUCAGUAGCCAGGUCGAUCUGUUUAAUGUGUGCCUGUUGCUGGUAUGUCUUUUUGGCAAAUGUAUGGAAUUUCAGAUGCAUAUAUAUAUAUCUUGUGUUAUAAAACUCUGUUAAAAUUUUUCACUCAAAACUAGGUUUUUCUCAAUAUUUUACUAAAAAUUUUUUUUUUGAGACAGGAUCUUACCUUGUCACCUAGGCUAGAGUGCAGUGGCAUGAUCACAGUUCACUGCAGCCUUGACCACCUGGGCUGAAGCCAUCUUCCCACCUCAGGCUCCAAAGUAGGUGGGACUAUAGGUGUGCCCAACCACACCUGGCUAUUUUUUUUUUUUUUUGCUAAGAUGGGGUCCCACUAUGUUGCCCAGGCUGGUCUCAAACUCCUGGCUUCAAGUGAUCCUCCCACCUCGGCCUCCCAAAGUGCUGGCAUUAUAGGCAGGAGCCACUGUGCCUAGCUCUGAAAUUUUAUACCAUAAAGAAGAGUUGGAAGAAUUAUACAGUAGUCACCCAUAUAUUCUCAGCUUAGAUUCUAAAAUUAGCAACAUUUAUGUCUUAGUCAUCCAUCUAGCUAUCUUACUUAUUACUUAUCCAUCAGAACAUUAGCAUUACCUGACAGAUUCCCCCAUGACACUUACCAGUCAAUCUCUAACCCCUUCCCCCAGUGGCAACCACUGUUCCACUUUUUCACCAUAAAUUUUACUAAUUUUAGAAUAUGAAAUAUAUGGAACCAUAUGGUAAGAACUCUUCUGCAUUACAAUACUUUGAAUAUAGUGUUUUUCAGAUCCAUCCAUGUUGAUGCACAUAUCAGUCAUUUGAUCCUUUUUAUUACUGAGUGAUGUUCUAUUGCAUGAAUAUAUGUCUUUGGAAACUUGCUUACAUUUUAAUUGUCUAAAUAUUUUUAUGAAUAAAGAUCCUGCAGCAUACUUAUAAAAGUAUUUUUGUGGUCAUAUGCUUUCUUUUCUCUGGAAUAAAUAUCUGUGAUUAGAAUUGCUUGGUGUGUUUAACUGCUUAAGAAAACACCAGAUCAUCUCCCAAAAGAUUAAUUUUACACUGUCUCCCAAAAUAUAUGCAAUUUCUGAUUGUUUUGAAUCCUAAUAAGCAUUUGCUGUUAUUAAUAUUUCCUUUUUGAGACGGAGUUUCACUCUUGUCAUGCAGGCUGGAGUGCAGUGGCAUGAUCUUGGCUCACUGCAACCUCUGCCUCCUGGGUUCAAGCAAUCCUUCUGCCUCAGCCUCCCGAGUAGCUGGGAUUACAGGCACCUGCCACCAUGCCUGGCUAAUUUUUGUAUUUUUAGUAGAGAUGGGGUUUCUCCAUGUUGGCCAGGCUGGUCUCGAACUCCUGACCUUGGAUGAUCCGCCCACCUCGGCCUCCCAAAGUACUGGGAUUACAGGUGUGAGCCACCGCGCCUGGCCUGCUAUCAGUAUUUUUAAUAUCUGCCAUUCUGGUGGUUGUGUAGUUGCAUCUCUCUGCAGUUUUCAUUUGCUUUUUCCUGAUGACCAAUAAUGUCACACUUCUUCACAGGCUAUAUUAACAAUUUUUAUGUCUUCCUUUGUAAAGUAACUGUUCAAAUUUUGCCCAUUAUAAUUGAGAUGUUGGGCUCUUUAAUAUUGAAUUGUACAAGUCUUUAUACAUUCUGGGUGUCAGUCAGUCUGAAAUUUGGGCAGAGUUUAAUGUAGAAUAAGGAGCAAUUCUUUGCUUGACAUCUUUUUCCCAGGAUUUCUUCCCUCACUUUCCAGGUCCUGUGGUCACCUCAAUCUCUGUCAUCUAGAUCUUCAUGCCAGUGGAUACUACAGAAGCAUCCACAGAUUCAAUGAAACAGGGAUCAAAAAUAUUCAGAGAAAAAUACAAAUUAGCAACACAACAAUAAAAAUAACACAAAUAAAAAAUGCAAUAUAGUAUGACAACUAUUUACAGGGCAUUUUUAUUGUAUAGGGAUAGAAAUAAUUUGAAGUAUGCAGGAUGAUAUGAAAAGGUUACAUGAGAAUAUUAUGGCCAUUUUACAUAACAGACUUGAGCAUCCACGGAUUUUGAUUUCCAUAAGGGUCCCUGAAACAAUUCCCCACCGAUACCAAGGGACUACUGUAUUCAGGAUUUUUUCACUUAGUUCAUGAAGGAUAUUCAUCUGUAGUUUUCUUUCCUUGUAAUUUCUUUGUCUUGUUUGGUAUUAUCAGAUUAAUGCUGGCCUCAUGAGACAAGCUGGGGGUGGGUGGGUGUUCCCUUCUCUUUUUGUUUCUGGGUUUAUUUAAAAUUCACAUCUUUACUCUUUAAAUGUUUAGUAGAAUCCACCAAUGAAUUCAUCUCAAUAUUGUUUUUUUUAUUGUUGUUGUUGGAAGGCUUUAUCUAUUAAAUCAGUUUUGAAAUAUAUAUCAGGCCAGGCAGGUGCAGUGUUUCAAGCCUGUAAUCCCAGCACUUUGGGAGGCCAAGGUGGGCAGAGCGCUUGAGCCCAGGAGUUCAAGACCAGCCCAGGCAACAUGGUAAAAACCCAUCUCUACAAAAGAUAGAAAAAAUUAACUGUGCAUAUAU